GCAGCCGCCUGCAGAGGCUGAGCGAGGGGCCGGGGGCCCGCCCCCCGCGGCCCUGCAGCCUGCCGGCAGAUAGGAAAAGUCAGCCGCACCGCUCGGCGCUCCCGCCUGGUCAGCAAGCCCAGGGACCAAAGCUCCUCCUCCGGCUGAGAGUCACGCGGAUGCAAGGACCCACUCCCGAGGAUGCUCAGCCCACACUGACAGUCUCACCAGGAUCCAGGCCUCCAGGCGUGGAGACAAGGGGCCAAAAGGAGAGCAGAGAAGAAAUGGAGACGCAGAGAUGGAGAGCCGACUGGUGUCCACAGCAGGGGAGGGAGGCGGGGGAUGACUGAGAGGCCAGCAUGGACACACACACACGCCACGUGUGACAGAGCCAGUGGGAAGCCGCCC